rnacentral:tRNA from 1 species
UGGCUCACUGGUUAGAGCGUUUGGCUCACAACCACGAGGUAGUGAGUUCAAUUCCCAC